ACCUACGGGGGGCAGCAGUCGGGAAUAUUGCGCAAUGGAGGCAACUCUGACGCAGUGACGCCGCGUAUAGGAAGAAGGUUUUCGGAUUGUAAACUAUUGUCCUCAGGGAAGAAAAAAGACUGUACCUGAGAAGAAAGCUCCGGCUAACUACGUGCCAGCAGCCGCGGUAAUACGUAGGGGGCAAGCGUUAUCCGGAUUUACUGGGUGUAAAGGGGGCGCAGACGGCGAUGCAAGCCAGAAGUGAAAGCCCGGGGCCCAACCCCGGGACUGCUCUUGGAACUGCGUGGCUGGAGUGCAGGAGGGGG
rnacentral:rRNA from 1 species